rnacentral:rRNA from 1 species
AGCUCCAAUAGCGUAUACUAACGUUGUUGCAGUUAAAGCUCGUAGUUGGAUUUUAAGGGUGUCUGCUCCAAGUGGCCUUUAGUGCCUCUCAGGUGCCGACUCCCCUUAUUUGCGCCAGUGCUUGGUUGGGAUUUGCUUUCUGAUCAUGCUUCAGGCGCGUGUUUACUUUGAGAAAAUUAGAGUGUUCAAACAGUCUUCUUGAUUGUAUAUCAUAGCAUGGAAUAAUAACUGAUGACCUCGGUCAUUUUGUGUUGGUUCGGAUGGCUGAAGUAAUGAUUGAUAGAGUUAGUCGGAGGUAUUAGUAUUUUGUCGUUAGAGGUGAAAUUCAUGGAUCGGCAAAAGACUAACAACUGCGAAAGCAUUUAUCUAGGAUUUGCUCU